rnacentral:rRNA from 1 species
GUCCACGCUGUAAACUAUGGAUGCUAGCUGUUACUCACAUCGACCUGAGUAGUAGCGAAGUUAACGCGUUAAGCAUCCCGCCUGGGGAGUACGGUCGCAAGAUUAAAACUCAAAGGAAUUGACGGGGACCCGCACAAGCGGUGGAGCGUGUUGUUUAAUUCGAUGGUAAGCGAAGAACCUUACCCAGGCUUGACAUCCUGCGAAGGCUUCCGAAAGGAAACUGUGCUUUCGAGAACGCAGUGACAGGUGAUGCAUGGCCGUCGU